UCUCACCUAAACUCAAAAAACGUGGCUAUGUUUCAGCCUGCUCUACGCACUGGUGUUUUCCCCAAGCUCAUUUUGGCAGAAGUCUCCCCAUGAGAGUGCCAAGGGAAUUUUUCACAUCUGUAGGAAGACCAGCCUCUGCCCUGUGAGGAGCUCAAAGGACAGCAGGCAGAGGAAGGUGGCACAGGACCUUAGAAGGGAUCUGAAAAAGCCAUAUUGAAAAACAGAUAAUUGGUUUAAAGAACCCUUCGUGAACCCUGGCAGGGGAGGCCAAACUUAAGUGACGUGAGAGGUUUUUCUGAAGAGCCUGGGGCUGUAACUGAUGAAGGAAGAUCAGUAGGCAUGGAAGAGUUCGAUAUUUCAGAAAAGGUCACUGCUCUUUCUCCUCCGUUGCGAUGAUGCGGGAAGAAUAAGCUCAUCUUCCCCCUCUGUGUCUGGUGUCCUGGGAUCACCUUUGCUGCCCUGUGCUUCAGCAUCACCAGGUUGAUAAUAUACAAUGAGAGAAAAUGCUGGACUGAGAGAUCAAAAAUCGUGAGAGCAUUUUAGAGGCACGGAAAUCACACAGAGGGGCUUUGCUUUAUGCCUCCAUGCUUUACCAGUAGAAGAAGACUAGCUCAUCUGGCAAGCCUGUUUAGUCUCUGCAUUCACUGAGAUACCCAGCAAGGAUACCAGCAGUGGGGACAGAUGAUGAAGCUCCCACUCCUUACCUUUGAGACUACAUAGUCCAGCAGCCAGUUUAUGUUCAAGGAAAGCUUUCGUAUGAAAACUUUUUGGCCCAUUCUAAAGGCAGCAACACUGUAAAGAGGGAAAAGAGACACUGGAAGAAAAACCCAUGACUUUAUGUGCAAGCUAACCAUGAAUACAAGUGGAGAGCACAUCGAAAAUAUCUUAGACCUGGAGGAAGUUUGGAGGAAGGGAGAGAUUUAUUUGUAAGAGUUGUAAUCUCAAAACAAAAGGCAGCCAGGGCAGGAACACCAGUUUUGCAAAUGCAUGUGUGCUAUAAUUCAGUCUAUGCUCUCUUGUAUUAAAUUCAUGACAACACAACAAUAUUUCAGUGCAAUUCUUUAUCAAUUGUAGAUUACAUCAUGCUGUGAAUUGCUCUGUCUGUUGAUAUUGAUCCUUGUAAAUCAUUUGGUUUAAGGUCUUGAAAUGAAAGCUGUGAUGCAUUUCAGCAUGUAAUGUACUCGCU